rnacentral:rRNA from 1 species
ACUCCUACGGGAGGCAGCAGUGGGGAAUAUUGCACAAUGGGCGCAAGCCUGAUGCAGCCAUGCCGCGUGUGUGAAGAAGGCCUUCGGGUUGUAAAGCACUUUCAGUUGUGAGGAAGGUGGUGUCGUUAAUAGCGGCAUCAUUUGACGUUAGCAACAGAAGAAGCACCGGCUAACUCCGUGCCAGCAGCCGCGGUAAUACGGAGGGUGCGAGCGUUAAUCGGAAUUACUGGGCGUAAAGCGCAUGCAGGUGGUUUGUUAAGUCAGAUGUGAAAGCCCGGGGCUCAACCUCGGAACUGCAUUUGAAACUGGCAGACUAGAGUACUGUAGAGGGGGGUAGAAUUUCAGGUGUAGCGGUGAAAUGCGUAGAGAUCUGAAGGAAUACCGGUGGCGAAGGCGGCCCCCUGGACAGAUACUGACACUCAGAUGCGAAAAGCGUGGGGAGCAAACAGGAUUAGAUACCCUGGUAGCACAGAG